GGUUAUCCCACUGAGGUGAAGUCGUUUUAACCAGAUGGUUAUCCCACUGGGGUGAAGUCGUUUUAACCAGAUGGUUAUCCCACUGAGUUGAAGUAGUUUUAACCAGAUGGUUAUCCCACUGAGGUGAAGUCGUUUUAACCAGAUGGUUAUCCCAGAUGGUUAUCCCACUGGGUUGAAGUCGUUUUAACCAGAUGGUUAUACCACUGAGUUGAAGUCGUUUUAACCAGAUGGUUAUCCCACUGGGGUGAAGUCGUUUUAACCAGAUGGUUAUCCCACUGAGGUGAAGUCGUUUUAACCAGAUGGUUAUCCCACUGAGGUGAAGUCGUUUUAACCAGAUGGUUAUCCCACUGAGGUGAAGUCGUUUUAACCAGAUGGUUAUCCCAGAUGGUUAUCCCACUGAGGUGAAGUCGUUUUAACCAGAUGGUUAUCCCACUGGGGUGAAGUCGUUUUAACCAGAUGGUUAUCCCACUGAGUUGAAGGUGAAGUCGUUUUAACCAGAUGGUUAUCCCACUGGGUUGAAGGUGAAGUCGUUUUAACCAGAUGGUUAUCCCACUGAGGUGAAGUAGUUUUAACCAGAUGGUUAUCCCACUGGGUUGAAGGUGAAGUUGUUUUAACUAGUCUUUCGGUCAGUCCAUCAUUACCAAGCAUCGGCAACAUGUCUUAUGUGAACGAGAAGCGUAACUCUUUAUACUUGUUCCAGAUUUCUCACUUCAAGAUCCCCCUCUAUGUGGUGUUUGUGGACAGCUAUCCACUGACUGCCUCUGGAAAGGUUCAGAAGAUCAAACUGAGGGAGGAGAUGGAGAAGAAGCUGGGUCUGUGAUGGACAGAAGGACCUAGACGGACUGGUUACAAAGGCUCUGUGUCUGUUACAGCAAUAUAUUGCUAUAUUUCAAUAAAACCAAGAGCAAAAAUAAAGUCUAAGCUCAUGUUACGGUUCAUGAGUGAUGUGCCUCAA